rnacentral:rRNA from 1 species
UACAGAGGGUGCAAGCGUUAAUCGGAAUUACUGGGCGUAAAGCGUGCGCAGGCGGCUUUGCAAGACAGAUGUGAAAUCCCCGGGCUUAACCUGGGAACUGCAUUUGUGACUGCAUGGCUGGAGUGCGGCAGAGGGGAUGGAAUUCCGGCGUGUAGCAGUGAAAUGCGUAGAUAUGCGGAGGAACACCGAUGGCGAAGGCAAUCCCCUGGGCCUGCACUGACGCUCAUGCACGAAAGCGUGGGGAGCAAACAGG